UUUUGUUUCGUCUUUGUUAUGGUUCGCGUAGGUUGCCACAGGGCCGAGCACGGCGGGUUUGCGCGCGAGCUAGGCACCGAGGGGCUCCCCGUCGGGGAGCACGGCGGAUGGCGCGGCCAGGUGCGUGCCCAUCAAGAGCUCUGUGCAGGGUCGACGGCUGAAGGCUGAUAGACACACGACGAGUGAUUGCUUUGUCUGAUGUGAAAGGGGUGGGUUAAAGCAACUCUAGCAAACCCCGU
rnacentral:lncRNA from 1 species